rnacentral:rRNA from 1 species
UACGGAGGGUGCGAGCGUUAAUCGGAAUUACUGGGCGUAAAGGGUGCGUAGGUGGUUUGAUAAGUUAUCUGUAAAAGCCCUGGGCUCAACCUGGGAAGGCCAGAUAAUACUGUUGAACUGGAGUAUGGGAGAGGGUAGUGGAAUUUCCGGUGUAGCGGUGAAAUGCGUAGAGAUCGGAAGGAACACCAGUGGCGAAGGCGGCUACCUGGCCUGAUACUGACACUGAAGCACGAAAGCGUGGGGAGCAAACAGG